GGAUUGUGGCUCAGCGGUAGAGCACUCGCCUAGCACAGGCAGAACCCGUGUUCGAUCCUCAGCACCA
rnacentral:tRNA from 1 species